rnacentral:tRNA from 1 species
GCGGGCGUGGCGGAAUUGGUAGACGCAGCUGGUUUAGGUCCAGCCGGUGAGAGCCUUGGGGGUUCGAGUCCCUUCGCCCGCACCA